rnacentral:lncRNA from 1 species
AUAUACAUCAUUCAGCUUUAUUUGAGAUGCAUUCAUGUCAUUUGAUGGGGGUGUCUCCAUAAGUUAAAGUUACAGUUCUCUUUGUGUUUUGUUCUUUAUUGAAGUAUAGUUAACAUUCUCCCUAAUGAUUCUAUUUAGGUGUUGACUUUGAUAAGAGCAGAAUGUUGUUACCACAGUGAAAACAGUGAAGAGUUCUACUGGUGCCUUCAUGUGUUCUCUGAUAUUCCCUGACUGCCGCUGGUGGUGUCUGUUCUAUCGUAUAUUAUUUGAGGUUUUUGAUCUCUGAUAUAUUAAUGAAUGUAUAUAAUGUCCCAACUUCCCUAGAUUCCUCUCUGACCACCUUGAUCACCUCUUAGUGAUCUUCUGAGUCUUAAUUCGUGGGUUUUCUACCUGCGGGUCUUGACCCCUUUGGAGGUUGCAUAGCAGGUAUUUACAUUAUGAUUCAUAACAGGAGCAAAAUGAUAGUUAUGAAGUACAAAGAAAUAACUUUAUCAUUUGGGCUCAUGGUAGCAUGAAGAACUAUGAAAGGGCCAUAGCACUAGGAAGGUCGAGCACCACCGUUGAACUAACGCUGCUCAUGUGCAGAGUUGUGGAGUCAUCUUUCCUGGUCUUUUAAAAAGUCUGUUGUGACCCUGGCUGACCUGGAACUGGAUAUGUAGGUCAAGUUGAUCUUGAACAUGAGUUCUGCCUUCCGAGUGUGAUUAUAGGUGUAAGCUGCUGUGCUUGGCUUAAGAUUUGUUUUUAUUGUUAAAUAUUAUAUUGGUAUUGUGUAUUUACUUACUCAUUUGUUACUAGAAAUUGGUUUUUACCUUAAUUGAAAAGAAGCUUUUGUAUUCAUGUAUGGCCUACAGAGGUGACUCAGUGGUUAACAGCACUUGAUCCUUUUGUGGAGGCCAUUAGGGUUUGGUUCCCAGUACCCACUUGACAACUCAAGAUCAUCCUUAACUCUAGUUGUAGAGAAAUCUCCGUCUUGGUCGGAAGGUAUGCACAUAACACACCAGUGCAGGCAAGACAGUCACACACAGAUAUCCUGAAACAUGGAGAACAUUAAUGGGCCUGCUUUGAUGAGUGUGUGUUUUACAUGCUAUCAGAUACCUGGAGUGGAGUGGCUGUGACCAUACUCUUUUCAAAAGCUCUAGUAUCUUAUGUACAUCUGAAGUUUCUCCAUGUUCUUUUUCUCAGUUUUGUUUUGCCUCUGCUCUUUGAGAUAGAGUCUGAUAGCUCAGGGUGGUCUUGAACUUACUAUGUAGCUGAGUACGGGACUGAACUUCAGCCUUUUCCUCUCAAGUGCUAGGAUUGCAAGUGUCAGACUAGUUUUUGUUUCUGGCCAGCCUUUAAUGCUAGCCAGGCCAGUCUACUUGCUAGCAGCAGUGGCUCCUGGUGGCUCGGCUUAGUCAGUGCUUCGCUCUUCCUGUGUCAGCACAUCCAUUGCCACCUGGAUCACCUUUUGGUGAUGUCUGCACCAUUGGAUUCUUAGAGGUGAGUGCUGGAGUAGUUGGAUAGUGUGUUGAGUACUGCUGCCGACCCUGGGCCGAGUCCUUUCCUUCUGCUAUAGAUAGAAGUUCCUAAUUAGAUGGCUACUCUGCAGUAUUUCUCUUGGUUCCCAUUCUCUUAGCAGUGUGAAAGUUUGAAGUCCAGGAGAGCAGUAACUUACUCAGUGAUGAGUUCAGAAAUGUAUCCGAUGAUUAUAUCUGCCACAUACAUUUUGUUAUGAUAGGUCUAACGUUUUCCUCUGUACAUAGUGUUGCUACUCAGUAGGCCCCUGUGCAUCUCCACAGAUGUAACCACAACAGAAAGUAUACAUAAAAAAGUUUUUGUUACAGUGCCAUUUAUUGGGAGACAUUUUCUGCACUAUCUCGAGUUUGCACCUUUGUCAGAAAUGAGUACUUUAGAAACAUGUCAGUCUCUUUUUAAAUUUAUUUAUUUUUGUUUUUUUUUUUGUUUUUUUUUUGAGACAGGGUUUCUCUGUGUAGCCCUGGGUGUCCUGGAACUCACUCUGUAGACCAGGCUGGCCCCGAACUCAGAAAUCCGCCUGCCUCUGCCUCCGCCUCCCACCAAGCCCGGUGUCAAGUCUCUUUCUGUGUUCGUACAGUUCCUACCAUGGCUUUGUCUGUCUUCUAACCCUGUCUGGCUAUGGUACUGCACCUCUGCAACAAGUCUUGAAGUGGAAUGUUGUUUGCCUCUUUUCAAAGUUGGUGUGCCUUUCCUAUGUCAUUUGCAUUUAAGUUUUAGAAUAAAAUCAUGCCCUAGGUGUACAUAUUUAAUCCCAGUACUUCGGAGGCAGAGGCUGGAAGAGCCAGGGCCAUACAGAGGAACCCUGUCUCAAAAAACAAAAGCAGCAGCAGCAGCAGCAACAGCAGCAGCACCGACAACAACAAAAGAGAGAGACACCAAAAAUUGUCAAUUUCUGUAAAGAAAAAAUUUGAACUUUUGGUUAGACUUUAGACAGUUUACUUUUUAAGUUGUUUUUUAUUUAAAUUUUCUUGCUAUGUUUUAUAGUUUUCAGUGUGAUUUUCACAUUUUAACUGGCUAUCCU